ACAGUCAGACAGAGAUAUGACAUUACACGUUUCACGUCCAACAAGUCGUAACUUUCAUAAGUUUCUUCGAAGUUCGAAACAAAUUAAAAAGUUAAACAAAGGAGAUCGGAUAAUGAGUCAACUGUUUGUUAACUUUUCCCUGUCAAGUUGUAAAUCUUCAAGAUAUUGGUGCCUUCACCAGAUCCAAUUCUUUACUGCAAUCUAUUUUAAGGACACAAGCAAGAAAAUGCUGCUACUCAAGUUUUAUGGUGAACGCCAUUGAGUUCUAAUUUAGGGAAAUGUUAAUCCCUCAGCCAUUAUUAUAGUUGUUUGGAAACUGAAGAUUGAUAAUUUGUGUAGACUUAGAUAAAUUACAAGUGCAUAUCUGGGCUGGGCUCCCAGAUAUGGUUCUGGCAAUGCUAAAAGGAAAAAAUUCUAUCAACUAUUUCUGGCGGAACCCCAUAGAAAUUUUUUUAAAAGAAAGUACUUUAUUAAUUUAAUCAAAUUUUGUCAUGGUACAACUCUAGAUAAGUUAAUAAGUAUUGUAAGUGUUGUAGCUGCCUGCUCCAGUGCGGCGGUAAG
rnacentral:lncRNA from 1 species